ensembl:lncRNA
GAAAAAUGUUUUUAAACAUGUUUUAAACCUUCAAAAACCUGGGUAAUGUUUACCUCCAUUACUCGUAUAAAAGAUGAGGGUUCUAUGGAUGACAGGACAUAGAACCACAGGAAUAGAAUGUAAUUCAUUCAUUCCUUUGACAAGUAUUUGAGUGCCUACCCUAUGCCAGACUGGCAAGUCCUUGAGGGUCUACCAGGUGCCAGGCAGUGUUCUUGAAGCUGGGGAUACAAAAAUGAACAAACGAGAUUUGGGGAAUAAAACUACAAUUCCCACAGUGUCUUGCUCUUUGGCUUUUUUCCAGGGGGCCCUACUUUCCACGACUCUCUUCCCAUGAUUCUCGUUGGGCAGAAAAGCCCCGCCCCCUUAUCGGCCAUUUAAGCCGCGCCCCUUGGAAAUGGACUACAACUCCCACAAUGCAUUCGAGGGGCCCCGUAUCUGGGCGCCACCUCUUUCCCGGCUUUGCUGGGACGACUACAGUACCCAGAACGCUCUGCUUCGCCUCCUGGGUGUUAUCGCCCCUUUCCCGGUGCCGGACGCGGUAGUGGCUAGCCAGACCACUUGGACGGCUCCGGGACUGAUUGCCUGGGGCAGGGGUGGCAGUCCAGGCCGCCGGGGCCGUGGUGAGGCUGCAGCUCCCCGGGCGGCGGUAGCGCAGGGGAGGAGGAGGAGAGAAGAUGGCGUCGGAGCUGGAGCCAGAGGUGCAGGCCAUCGACCGGAGUUUGCUGGAAUGUUCGGCCGAGGAGAUUGCGGGGGUGAGUGCCGGGACCCGGGCGGGUACGUCCGCCCCUCGCAGGCCGCGCCCGCGGGGAGGAACCGACUCCUGCACGCCCUGGAGCAGCCCGGCCCAGACUUGGGGAAACAGCUGUGCCGGCCCUCUCCUUGUGGGGUAACAGCCCGGGGAGGCCACCGAUCCUGCCCCUCUCUUUCCAUUUUCAACAGCUCCCAGAGCUGCGCUGUGCACUAACUGCGUUUACUUUCCCUUUCUGCCCAGGAGAGCGCACGGCUUUUCCAUCAUACCUCCUUUCCCCUAGCCGCCCAUUAAGUCUCCCAACACAAGGGCCUUUGCCCUUUAUAUAUAUCAGCUCUUGGAAGAGGAGAAGAGACGCUUCUUGUGUUUUUGGUAUAAUCGCCGUACUUUAUCUAGUUGAUUGCUUUUCCUGAGACAAGCGGAGCCGUGUGCUCCUCCGAGUAAACAUGCCACCCUUAACCGAGCCCCUACUUUGUUUUUGGGACUGCCCCAGGCACCAAGAAGGGAAACGACACUACCCUUCGUUACCCCUUUCAGUGCCCCCUUUUUUUUUUUUGCACCGGUUUGAUUAGUUGACAACGUUGAUGCAUGUGUGGAAAGUUUACUGAGUAUGAGAAAGUAGUUGUGGAGGCUGGGAAAUUUUAAAAAUAUUUUUUCCAGGAGUUAGGGGUAAUUGGAUGGAGAACAAAUGUUAUAUAACGUUGAUAGAGCAGUUUUCAACAAAUACUGUAUAAGCUAAACGUGAGAAUUGGUCACAGUGUAGUAGGAGCAGUUAUGCUCCAAACGUAAAACCAUUCAAACGCAGUAUUGCAUUAAAACUGUAAUAUGAAUAUUCUAGUGUAAAUAGCAGAGUUGUAGAGUAAUAAACUCGACAGCAUCUUUCCCCA